CCUACGGGAGGCAGCAGUGGGGAAUAUUGGGCAAUGGGCGCAAGCCUGACCCAGCAACGCCGCGUGAAGGAAGAAGGCUUUCGGGUUGUAAACUUCUUUUAAGAGGGAAGAGCAGAAGACGGUACCUCUUGAAUAAGCCACAGCUAACUACGGGCCAGCAGCCGCGGUAAUACGUAGGUAGCAAGCGUUGUCCGGAUUUACUGGGGGUAAAGGGCGUGCAGCCGGGAAGACAAGUCAGAUGUGAAAUCCCGCGGCUCAACCGCGGAACUGCAUUUGAAACUGUUUUUCUUGAGUACCGGAGAGGUCAUCGGAAUGCCUUGUGUAGCGGUGAAAUGCGUAGAUAUAAGGAAGAACACCAGUGGCGAAGGCGGAUGACUGGACGGCAACUGACGGUGAGGCGCGAAAGCGUGGGGAGCAAACAGGAUUAGAUACCCCUGUAGUC
rnacentral:rRNA from 1 species